rnacentral:rRNA from 1 species
UACGUAGGGCGCGAGCGUUGUCCGGAAUUAUUGGGCGUAAAGAGCUCGUAGGCGGCUUGUCACGUCGGAUGUGAAAGCCCGGGGCUUAACUCCGGGUCUGCAUUCGAUACGGGCUGGCUAGAGUGUGGUAGGGGAGAUCGGAAUUCCUGGUGUAGCGGUGAAAUGCGCAGAUAUCAGGAGGAACACCGGUGGCGAAGGCGGAUCUCUGGGCCAUUACUGACGCUGAGGAGCGAAAGCGUGGGGAGCGAACAGG